rnacentral:rRNA from 1 species
GACGAACGCUGGCGGCGUGCCUAAUACAUGCAAGUAGAACGCUGAAGGAGGAGCUUGCUUCUCUGGAUGAGUUGCGAACGGGUGAGUAACGCGUAGGUAACCUGCCUGGUAGCGGGGGAUAACUAUUGGAAACGAUAGCUAAUACCGCAUAAUAGUAGAUGUUGCAUGACAUUUGCUUAAAAGGUGCAAUUGCAUCACUACCAGAUGGACCUGCGUUGUAUUAGCUAGUUGGUGAGGUAACGGCUCACCAAGGCAACGAUACAUAGCCGACCUGAGAGGGGGAUAGGCCACACUGGGAAUGGGACACGGCCCAGAACCCUACGGGAGGCAGCAGUAGGGAAUCUUCGGCAAUGGACGGAAGUCUGACCGAGCAACGCCGCGUGAGUGAAGAAGGUUUUCGGAUCGUAAAGCUCUGUUGUAAGAGAAGAACGAGUGUGAGAGUGGAAAGUUCACACUGUGACGGUAGCUUACCAGAAAGGGACGGCUAACUACGUG